rnacentral:rRNA from 1 species
CAGCCGCCGCGGGAAUACGAAGGGUGCAAGCGUUACUCGGAAUUACUGGGCGUAAAGCGUGUGUAGGUGGUUGUUUAAGUCUGUCGUGAAAGCCCUGGGCUCAACCUGGGAAUUGCGAUGGAUACUGGGCGACUAGAGUGCGGUAGAGGAUAGUGGAAUUCCCGGUGUAGCGGUGAAAUGCGUAGAGAUCGGGAGGAACAUCAGUGGCGAAGGCGGCCAUCUGGGACAACACUGACGCUGAGGCACGAAAGCGUGGGGAGCAAACAGGAUUAGAUACCCCAGUAGUCCCUGUCUCUUAUAC